AUCAGCAGUGUCUCUGUCCCUCUUGGUCCAAGACGUGAACAUGACGAAGGAAUCCUUAUGCAGACACUAAACAUUCACCAUUUCUAGAAAUUCCAAUCACUCAGGCACUUCAUCUGCAAAUCUGAGAUCAGGCCCCCCACUUAGUGUAUUUGACAAGCUGAGUUGGACACUCAGUAUGACAGGGUGUCAGUUUGUCAAAUACCCCAAGUGAGGAGUCACUUGUCUGCUGAGCAUUUCCCACCAGACAGAAUUCAAAGAAGAUCACCUCAUGAAUAUGAAUCACUGUUAGGCCAUAAAUGUUCUAAAGCAAAAAACGAUUUAAAUACUGACUGUUUAUAUUGUGAGCGAUAGCGUACAUUGUCACUAACGUGUUAUGUCUGUGAAAAUUUCAAGAUAGCCCUCGUUACACUUUGUAACAUAUGUUUGUCCCUGUAUUGUAUAGUGCAUAAGCACUGGGUUAUAGAAUAUUGAGGUCCCUGGAUAUACAUAAAAAAUUUGUAUAGAUAAGUAUAAAUAACUAGAAAUAGUGUAAUGAUAUACCUUUUAUUUUUUGGUUGGACUGUGUUUUUUGGACAGGAACGUAGAAAAAGAUAGAAAAUAGUUUUUGCUGACAGUGGGCCAGAUUCAAACACAUGCUAACAGCAUGUUAACAGCAGUUAAUGUGCACUGCUAGAGGCCUAGCCUUAAACCACAGGACCAUGGUAGGCCACAUGAUUGAAUGUCUACAUCUAACUUUAGGUUUAUAAACCCUUAAUGUAGACUUGCGUUAUAAACCUUUGAUGUAGACCUACAUUAUACACCCUUAAUACAGACCUACAUUAUCCACAAGAGUGACUGACCCUCUAAAAAGGUAAUAGUAAUAACGUUGUUAUGCACUGGUGUGGUGAAUGGUUGCACAUUUUUAGGUUGGCUCAUGUAGGUAGUCUAUCUAAACUUGUUGUAAUCAUGCAGUCAUAAUGGCUGAAUAUCGACUGGGGCACCUACCCAAGGGGCCUGACCGCCAUGGGGCCCCAUUGAUGUUGAUGUGGUUUAUAUUUAUGGAUUACUCUUUAUGUCCUUUGGCUAAUUGAAUAGCCUUGCAUUUAAUUUGUUAUAAAAUUGUUGAAGGUUCUCUUUUUUCUAUGGAAAAUUAUGUAUUAAUGAUAAAAUAAAAACAAUGAUAAAACUGUG